rnacentral:rRNA from 1 species
UUAUGUUUUGGGUUUUUGUUGAGAUAGUUAGAAAAUUUAUUUUUAGUAGUUUGAGCGAAAGUUGGUGUUUUCCUAGAGAGUAUGGAGUACUGAGAAGGAAGGUUUGUUUAUUUUUUGGGAAUAUUAGGUUUGUUAGUACCUUUUGUAUUAGGGUUGAUUUAUGUGGUUUUGCUUUUGUUAUUUCUCGAUGAGUAUCGGGCUAUUUUUCCUUGUGGUGUUCUCGUUGUAUAGAGUUAAAUAGGGGAUUAUAGGUAUGAAAUAUUAUUCAAGUUGCUUUUUAUCUGGUUCUUUAAGAAAUUUAAUAGUCGGUAGUGUUAUUAUUACGGUAGAUAGGGAUUAGCUUAUUUAUUUUUAAUAUUGGAUUUUAGUUGGGUUUUGUUUGUUAAGUUGAAAGUGCUUGUUUUAAUGGAGUUAUUAUUGAGCAGGUUGUUUGUAUUAUUUUUUGUUUUUGUUUUUGUAUUAAGGUUAUAUUAUUAAUUUUUGGUGGUUUGUGAUAAUGAUUGUAUUAGUAAUAUAUUUGUUGGGAUAUUUUUUAGUUUUCUGGUUUAUGAAUUAGAUAAGUAAUUAUUUUAAAAUUAGGAUUGAUGAAUUAGGCAAGAUAGACUUCUGACUGUUUAGCAAAGACAUUGUUUUUUGUUGUGGUAAAAAAUAAGUUCUGUCCACUGCUAUAAGGUGAAGGGCUGCAGUAUUUUGACUGUAUGAAGGUAGCAUAAUCAUUAGCUUCUUAAUUAGAAGCUGGUAUGAAGGUGAAACAGGGGUUUGCUGUAUUUUUUCUAUUUGUUGAAUUUUAUUUUCAUGUGAAAAAUCAUGAUUUAGUUAAAGGGACAAGAAGACCCUAAUAAGUUUUAUUUUCUUCUUUAAUGCGUGUAUAGGCUUUGAUUUGUGCAAUUUAUUUUGGGGGGUUUGGCUGGGGCGGCAUCUUAUUUAACAUAGGAUAAUUUUUAACUUUGUGUGGCGGUAUUUGGACCUAGGUUUUUUAGAUUAGUGUAAAACUACUGUAGGGAUAACAGCGUGAUUUUUUUUGAGAGUUCUAAUUGACAAUAAAGUUUGCGACCUCGAUGUUGGAUUAAGAAGAGCGUUGGCGAAGUAGUUGAUGUUUUUGGUCUGUUCGACC